CCGGUGGCCACCAUCUUGCUUCACAUACUUCGGGAUUCGGGAGUAUCGAAUUUUAUAUAUAAAAUUUUUGCUUUACAUUACGUGAUUACCGCGGAAGUGCUUAAAAAUCGCUUUUUCAUGGACACGCCCUAGAUUCAAUUUUACAGCUAUUGCACUGCCGUAAUUACAUUAACUCGAGAGUCGUUUUCUCUACAUUAUAGGAAAUGUUUACCGACCUUGUUCUUGUACAUAUUAUCUUUAUUGCACGAUUCUAUAGAAUUGUUUACUGUCAUAUAUUAUAAAACGACCCGCCUUCCCGUAUUUGAAUAAGCGCGGUUAUUUCGAAAAAUUUGAAUUUCGCAAUUAUUUUACGUCACUUGGCCUUGAUGCCGUCAGUCUAUAAUUGUACGUUAUGCCUGGUUUAAACAUGGUCAGAAAUAUUUCUUAGUUCAUAGAUAAUCAAGUAUAAAGCGUAUACAAUGAGUAACUAAGCCAUGCUUGGCAUCGCGCUUUCGAAAACGUAACUUGACGAUGUGGUAUUUAAAAUUAUAGGGCAUGUUAGUGAGAUGCGAUAAAGCGCUCUGGCUUGAAAUGUGAGAAUUUCUAUAUUUUUCCGAGAUUUUUUUUUGAAAAAUAUUGUACAUUUCUUGUGCGGGAUUCUUGAAGAAUUGAAAUACAACCGCAUGUUUGGGUUAGCUACCGGUAGAUGGGUUGUAAAAGAAGCUUUAAUUUGGCGUCACAACUUUGUCCUAACUAAAAAUACGAUGCAAGUGGAGCCUGGACAUUCACCCAGAUGUCGAAGUGUUCUAAUUUAUUGAAAACGUUUUUCAAUUUUGACAUCGCGUGUAGAAUUUGGAAGGCUCUUUCAAAUCUUUUAUACCGUACAAGACUCGGUCCGGUAACCAUUGAUAUGUAUGUAAGAGCUGUUUACUAAUAAUUUUUAUUUCAAUCUCCGAUACCGAUCCGAUCAACAUAUCGGGCCAGAAUCUCUUAUUGAUAUUGUUGAAUUUCUCGUAUAUUAUACGCCUAAAAUAACAAAAAGCGCGAAGAAGAGUUGAUAUAAAUACGGGCUUAUCUGUGUGAAACUUCACAUUGUCAUUUUCUCCGAACAGUAUACAAUUACCCCGCCUUACGCAAUUUCACGCAAAGGCAUUUUUCGAUCUUUUAUAUCUCCCUUGUCCAGUUAUACCAUACACCGAUACAUGAUAUCCUGGCUUAUUGUCCAGUUUACGAUACAAUUAAUGGGCAUCGUAAUUAGUAUCCUUCCAUCAGCUUCUGUCGUACACUGUUUGGACCGUUGCCGUGACAACGUAUGUACCGACGUGACCACUGCUAUAAAAUCUAUUAUGAUGUCAUUUGUUUUGCUCGACGACAUAAAGCACCAUAAUGGCACCACUAGCAUAAUCGUGCACCAAAUUCAACAAUCACAGCAAAGAGGAUUUUAUUUGUUGAUAUUUAGAUAUGUCAUCUAUGAUUUAUAUGAGGACCAUUUACUUUUCUUGUUCGAUCAAGUACGGGAACAAGAUAGUCCAUUUAUAAAAGCUAAAUUUGCUUUGGUCCAAACAUGUAUGUCGGAAGCAGAAAUCUUAAAAUUUGCACAAUGCAGUUUCUCUUCCAGUUAUAGUCUAUUAGUUAAACAAUUGAUCAUAAGACCACCAACAAAGCUUGUUUUGCUCGCAUUUGUUGUUUUAUUAUUUCGUCACAAUUUAAAAAAAUAAUUUUCAAAACAACAACAUUGGUUAGCUUGGUUCCCCAAGCUUGCAACCAUAUUUGACUAUUGCCUCAAAAAAAUGCUAUUGCUGUUAAAGCCAACUGGGUUUUUAAUGGUAGUCGUUUCGUUCAGUUCAGACGACGUUUUUGGACAGCAUCCUACUGAUCCAGUGGUAGGAGUGUACGUUAUGUAUAGCUUCGCCUUCAAGAGCGAAUUACUCCAAGUAAUAAAAAGAAACUAAAGCAACAGCCUCAAAUAAAACGAGAAGCCGUCAGAUAAAUAGAAAAUGAACAAUUUUUUUCACCUGAAGCAGAGCAUACAGAAUUUCAGGAAGAGACAAGUCAGCACCUUCUAAUCAAAUCCACCUGUUUUAAAUAAUUUUGGCGGUUGUCAUCAUUUUCCUUUGCACAAUUUGAGAUAUUAUGCAUUCUCUACUAUUUUAGCUACUAUUUAUUGUUUUCUUGCAAAUGAUGUGAACAGUCUCCGUAUUGUUUGUUGAAGUUUCCAGCCUGGCUUAAGUUCGGAGGUAAAAUACACCGAAACUGUUCUUCCUUACCACUACUGUUAGCUUGGAGUAGGGAUAUAUUGCCAAAAUCGUCAUCUGAAUGGUGUCUCACAUAUAUAUGUACAGAGUGACUAAAAAAGUACGGAGUAUGGCCAGAAUCACUUGCGAUGUUGUUAUCCCGCAGAAUGAAGUAACUAACUCUUGAAGUAACUUACGUUUGAAAAAAUAAGAAUACAGUAUUGUUUGUAUCUCUUCUGUAGGAACGGCUCAUGAGGAAAGUUAUUCUAUGACAACUGAGACUGAAUAGUCCUUAAUACUUAUAUAUAAUACUUAAAUUGGAUCUAUAUAAGUAAAUGGUAAAUCAGGAAUUAGCGAACAGUAUUAAUGCACACUUUAGUACCAACAGAAAAGUGUAAUUUUGUUAUUAAUGAGAAGCCGAUUGAGCAUUUUAAAUUGAUAUAGAAAUUUAAAAACGGGGUCUGCUUCCAAAUCAUAUAUUACGUUGUGAAAAAAUCCUUGCAAUUACGGACAAAAAAACAUAGUAACUAUAUAUAUAAUAAUACUAGAAAAUUGUUUUUACGAUAAUAAAAAUACUUUUACAGUGGCAGUUAAUUAAAAGAUAAAACACUA